CGGGCAUGUGCCUGCCCACAAAAGCAGCACUCACGCGUGAUGAGCACAGUCCUGGGACUGGUUUUGUGGAGCUGGAAAUGUAUCUCAUCUCCUAAAGUUGAGAACACAAUGUGACUAGGAAUGACUAUGCUCCUCCAAUAACAGAGGAGAGAGGUAGGGGGAGGAAAAGAGGAACAGAGGGGAGAAGAGGGGAGGGAGAGAGGAGAAACAGAGAAAGAAAAGAGACCAAAGAAGAAAAAGAAUCGGGAUCAAGUGCAUGAGUGGCUGGGAGCAAGUGUGAGAAGAACUGAUGACCGUGGAACCAAGGGAGUUGUUGAGUUGACUCCGAAGCAGAAGCGUCUAGAUCACCCAAUCCUGAGCUGUCUAUCUGGAAGAGCCCAUUUCUGCAAUCUGAGUGGCAAAGAAAAAGUGGAGGUCAGUGAAGCAGGCAAUAUAGGGCAUGCUUUUCCCUGCCUCCCCCGCCUGACCCACUUCUCCACAAUCCACCUGCUUCAGCCACCUCGGGCCCAGUCCUAGCUGCCAGAUGCUAACUGAGGCUGUUCCUCAAAUUGCCAGGAGAUUGCUAUCCAAACUGUCACCCCCUGAUCAGAAAAGAAGGAGUUAUGGAAAGUAACUGACAGCACCUGAGCGAUCUCUCAUUUGGAUUAAAUCAAGAUCUUUAAAUAUUUAUAAAGUUCUGGUAUCUAAAAUAGCCAGCCUUUGCCUUGCACACAGGCUGUUGAAAUAUGGGCCUAGUGCAUUCUAAACUGAAUACUUGUCUGAGCAGUCAUAUAUUUUGUUUGUGUGUGAGAGUGUAACAGUGUGUGUGAUUGUGUGUGGGUGUGUGUGUGUAUGUUGAAAAACCUAUUGCAUUAUGUUAAAUAUCCCAAGGGCUCUGUAUAGAACAUGACUGGAAUGAAUAUAGGACAAGAAUAACUUUUUUCUAUCUCAUUAGAUGGUCUGAGUUUUGAAAUCUGCUCUAAAAGUGUGGUAAAGUGUUCAGUGUUGUAGAUUAAUGCACUGAAUACAUUUCUACAGUUCUUGAUGUGUUUCAUAAAAGGUCCAUUUCAAAAGUGUGCUGUAUUAUAGGUGAACACUCGCAGUAAAUAAUCUUGUUACAGAAACCUAAGCAAUUUUUAC
ensembl:lncRNA